AGCAGCCGCGGUAAUUCCAGCUCCAAUAGCGUAUAUUAAAGUUGUUGCAGUUAAAAAGUUCGUAGUUGAAUUUCGGGAUUAGUAGUCUGGUCGUGCCACUGGUAUGUACUGGUCUUACUGAUUUCUCCUUCUUGAAGAACCGUAAUGUCAUUAAUUUGUUGUUGCGGGGAAUCUGGACUGUUACUUUGAAAAAAUUAGAGUGUUUAAAGCAGGCUAACGCUUGAAUACAUUAGCAUGGAAUAAUGAAAUAGGACGUUCGAUCCUAUUUUGUUGGUUUCUAGGAUUGACGUAAUGAUUAAUAGGGAUAGUUGGGGGCAUUAGUAUUCAAUUGUCAGAGGUGAAAUUCUUGGAUUUAUUGAAGACUAACUACUGCGAAAGCAUUUGCCAAGGAUGUUUUCAUUAAUCAAGAACGAAAGUUAGGGGAUCGAAGACGAUCAGAUACCGUCGUAGUCUUAACCAUAAACUAUGCCGACUAGGGAUCGGAUGAUGUUAAUUUUAUAAUGACUCAUUCGGCGCCUUA
rnacentral:rRNA from 1 species